GUCAUCAGACACCUGCCAGCUGGAUUUCAGAGGUUCAGAUGUCCUGUCUGUGGCCACGCCCACCAGUUUAGCCCCGCCCCCUAUAGAGAGGACAGGUGGUAUCGGAGACUCCAGACCGCCAUCCUUCCAUGCUGCUACUGUGAGCCAUGAUGAGCUGCAGGGGUCAGAGGUCAAACCUGCUGUUUCAGAGAGGCUGCAGAGGAAAGAUGUGGGUGAGCAAGGUGAUCGCCUGAAUGGCCACGCCCACUGCCCAGCUGAUGAGAGGGGGGUGGAGCCAACAGGUGGUGGCGACAGUUCAUCGACCCAGCAGAGCAGCGAACUGGAAACAACCAGUUUCUGCUCGUCUGAGGAAGACUCAGGAGGAAGGUUCAGCCAAUCAACAGAGCAGAGCAGCUCCUC